CCCCUUACCUGGCAUGGGACAUACAAUGAUCAAAGAAGUGGUUUGCCCACAGCAAGUACAACCAUUGGAUAACCAUCAUACUCCAAAUGUGCUGAUCCCUGAGAUUUCCCCAAAUGUGGGAAAGUCAACAGCAUAAUUUGUGGUAGUGGGGUACUGCAUGCAUUCAGCUUUCCCUAA
rnacentral:snRNA from 1 species